rnacentral:lncRNA from 7 species
GGAACUUGAGGCAUUGUUACUUGCUGAACGGUCGGAGUUGGUUUGAAGGCUGACCACCGUGAUCUAACAAUUUAUCUUCUGUUGUAGAUAAAUGCUUUCUUUUUUCUUUUUCUAAUGAUAGCAUACUGCUUGGUCAUGGCCCUGAGUCAUUCAUCCAGAAGUCACUUGAUUGAAGUGUAUCUUCUUCUUUAGUUUCUGUGAGUAUGGAUCCUUUGUUAUGUUUAUACCAAGUCAACAGAUUCUAAAUUGUCUCUACUCUACAUAUUGAUGUGGCUUUGCAAUCGCUAGAUUCUAAACUUAUUAUCUCUAUUCUACAUGCUGAUGUUGCUUUGCAGUGACUUGGGCCUCACAUUUGACGUUUUGCAUUAUAGUGAUAUUUUGCAUCGGAUCCACUUUUCUUAAUUAUUACCGAUACAGAGUUGCAUAUGUUUCUGUUGUUAACACCAUGCUUUUUACGGACAGGGAUUGCAGCUUCCCUCUUGGUUUCAGCUGAAUUGUGGGCUUCUUGGUUUCAGAGCAUUGUAUUGAUUCAUCGUCUGGGGCUGUAAGAUUGCAGCAUGAAUUUGAUGUAGCACCCUGACUUGUGUCGUCCAAUCCUGUCGUGUACGCAUAAAUGCAUUGCUGAAUAAUUCACCUGAUUUUUGCAC